AACGUAGGUGGCUAGCGUUGCCCGGAAUCACUGGGCGUAAAGAGCGUGUAGGCGGCCAGGUAGGUCUGCUGUGAAAACUCGAGGCUCAACCUCGAGACGUCGGCGGAAACCAUCUGGCUAGAGUCCGGAAGAGGAGAGUGGAAUUCCUGGUGUAGCGGUGAAAUGCGCAGAUAUCAGGAAGAACACCCGUGGCGAAGGCGGCUCUCUGGGACGGUACUGACGCUGAGACGCGAAAGCGUGGGGAGCGAACAGG
rnacentral:rRNA from 1 species